UGCGGGGUAGGGCAGUUCGGUAGCCCGGAAGUUUCAUAUGCUUUAGGUCGUGGGUUCAAAUCCCACCCCCGCAAC
rnacentral:tRNA from 2 species